ensembl:lncRNA novel transcript
CCUAUUCAAGAUGGAGACGCCCUGGUUCAGACGCCUCUGACAGAUGCUCCAAGAUGAUGUGAAGAUACAAGUGCCCUUCUUGUCUCAUGGACUCAAUCAGGAGAUAUGAAGAUUGACAACUGAUUGGCAAAAGUGAAGUCACUGUGUGACCUGUCCUGAAAAGAUGGUGGCUGCAUCUAGAAACAGUGACGUGUUUGGGGAACAAUGGAGUAGAGUCAGAGACGCACCUACUAAGACAUUUUGGCUGCUGGGCACCUGAACAUGAGCAAUGUGAAGCUUCCGAUCUGAGAAACCCUCUCUCCGGGUACCCUGAUGGAAUCCACAGAGUGAUCCAAACCCCCCUGAAUUCCUGGUGUACUGGCAGUGUUAGCCAAGGCAAACAAACAAACGCGCAAAGCCAGCCCGGGCCUUCUGUAAUUGCCUUGUGGGAUUGUGUAACAGGAUUUUCUUCCAAGGCAUCCAUUUAUUUUCCUUUGGCAUUCUACCUUCACAUUUUUGUUCCUAUAGUUUCACUUAAUACAAAGAUCUGCUACGCGAUACUUAGAAAAAAGGUGUUUAUUUUUUCCUUGUUGAAUAUUUUCUAUAAAAAUUAUACAGGACAAAAUUCAUGUUAAUUAAAUAAACUUUAAAGACAUAA